rnacentral:misc_RNA from 1 species
UCCGACUUAACGUCGGCAGUCCCUCUAGAGUGCCCAACUAAAUGCUGGCAACUAAAGGCAAGGGUUGCGCUCGUUGCGGGACUUAACCCAACAUCUCACGACACGAGCUGACGACAGCCAUGCAGCACCUGUGUACCGGCCCUUGCGGGCGACGACAUCUCUGCCAGUCUUCCAGUACAUGUCAAACCCGGGUAAGGUUCUUCGCGUUGCAUCGAAUUAAACCACAUGCUCCGCUGCUUGUGCGAGUCCCCGUCAAUUCCUUUGAGUUUUAGCCUUGCGGCCGUACUCCCCAGGCGGGGCACUUAGUGCGUUAGCUACGGCACGGAGGGAGUCGACACCCCCCACACCUAGUCGACAUCGUUUAGGGCGUGGACUAC